UACGAAGGUGGCAAGCGUUGUUCGGAAUCACUGGGCGUAAAGCGCACGUAGGCGGAUUGCCAAGUCAGAGGUGAAAUCCCGCGGCCUAACCGAGGAACUGCCUUUGAUACUGCUUGGCUAGAGGCCGGGAGAGGGUAGCGGAAUUCCCAGUGUAGCGGUGAAAUGCGUAGAUAUUGGGAGGAACACAAGUGGCGAAGGCGGCUACCUGGACCGGUUCUGACGCUGAGGCGCGAAAGCGUGGGGAGCAAACAGG
rnacentral:rRNA from 1 species